rnacentral:lncRNA from 1 species
CUGGGUUAGAGGACGCUGUCCGAGGCCCCUGUGGAGAUCUUCAAGAACAGUGAGUAAAGUCCCUGGAAGCUUCUGAGAAGAAGCUAGAGGCCUGCACUGUGGCCUGCAGCAUGACAGGACCGCACUGGCUCCAUCCAGACACGAGUGUUCUGGAACUCAUUGACUGGAUCUCUAGGCAAACUUCCUUAAAGGAGGCUUUGAAAUACCAAGAUUGACACUCCCGUUUGCUGACGCUAGAAGGCGUGGCCUAGGAGGCGUGGUUUCCGACAGCUUCAGAAACCUGUAAACACUAAGCAGGCUGGGUCACCCACCUGGAACGGUGUGUAAUGGUGAGAUAAUCCCAGUCCUAAGAGGCAAGCUGGUCGCACAUUCAGGAGUCUGCUGAAGAGCCUGCCCACGAAGGCUGACUUUGUCCUUUCUGUCCACUGACAUUUAUCGCCUGUGGUUCUGCAAAUCAGAACCAUUGUUCAAAUGUCACAACAUGGAGGAACCCACUCAUGGAAGAGACGAAUAACUUGCCAAAAGUCACUCAAGGGAUGUCACGGCUAUAAUUCUGACCCGGCUCUCCUAACUCACAGCAGGGUUCUCCUUCCAAGACUCCACAAACUGUGUGUGCAUCUAAGGAAAAAGAGGCUAGCUGUAUGACCUCAUGUACAACUCAGGUGUCCUGUGAAGUGCGGUGACAAAGAGCUCUCCACCAAGCUUUGAGAUCGCCUCAUCAGAAGCUUUCGCGCCUCCACGCACGCGCUAUCUACAGCCCUGGAUCUCAACAGACUACACGCUAAAUGACGCGCUUGCUGUUUUGUGGAACAACGAGGCCACCGUAUAACUUCAGCUUAAGUCAGGGGGGCGGGGAGACUAGCGGCACCCCCACAGCCUGGCAAAAGGUGCGACAAGAGUCAGUACCGGACCGGACGCAGUACAAGGCAGCUAUAGCGCUACCCAGACCCUGAGCGAG